rnacentral:lncRNA from 1 species
UCUUACUAUACUGCAGCCAGUAAAAACAUUUUAGGAAGCUGAGAAAAAAAUAUUCCUUUCGCAGACCCCUUUAUGACUGAGCUUUAGGCUGGGCAUAGAGCAGGAUUGGGGAGAAGGAGGAGUGAAUGGCAUGUUGAGCCAGGAACACAGAUGGUUAUGUGGGAUUCAUCAGAAGUUGGAUCAGGUGGCACAAAUCUGUUUGAUUUGAGUUGGUUGCCAUUUCAUUGGCUGCUUCACACAAAAUUCAGGAAGAAGCCCUCUGAAAGGGAAUGGGUCACAGGUAAAUUUCUUUACUUCCCCCUUUCUUAUAUAGCAAAUGUUGGCAUUCCUUCACUGUUACACAACUUUGAUGGGAGAACUGUGAGCAUCAAUGACUUCCUCUGUUACAUCUAGCCUUGGGUGGUUAGGCUUAGAGAAAGGGGAUCACAGCUGAGCAGUAGCAGGGAACUGCACCAGAGCUGCUGAAUGAAAAUUGAUUGUCUUAGCCAAUAACUAUUAAAAAGGGGUAGCAUCAAUUUACUUUUGUUUAGGAGUUUUAUUCAAGCAAACUGAUAGCUGAAUUCUGAAGGAAGGGUGAAGGGCUCGGCUUUUGUUCAGCUGGCAUGGCUCGGUGUCAUUCCAGUUCCUGGAAGAUUACAGAUUAGUGUGAACAAGGUUACCUCACAAAGUUUUACCUCUCUACCUUAGGCCAACUCAAAGAAAGUUGAAAAUUCCAGUUUCUACCUAGAAAUUCAAAAUAUAAAACGUGGUGAAGUUCAGCUGCCUGUUGCAGUUGGGCCCUGGCUUUGCUCAGGGCCCUGUGGCUGUUGGAUCCUUCAGCAGGCCCAGCCGUUCCUCUGUGCUGGCCUGGCAGCAAGCUGUUUGGACGGCAUGGCGGGGGAGUGGAUAAUUUUAAUUUCUGCCCCUUAAAUUGUUCAGGAAACGGUUCAUUGGAUCACUGGAAACAGCCCUGCAGAGACAAUGAAAAUAAGGAAAGUCUGUUGUGUUUCAUAAAGAGAGGAUUGAAUGUCCUGAUAAGCUUCAUUAAGACAUUUUGGUGCCAACGCCCCUGUUUUAUUUCAGCGAUUCAGUCUACUAUUUUAAAAUGCUGUGAGUUUUUCCACUUCUGUGUAAUUUCUGGUCAUUUACUGAAGACAAGUGGAGUCAUAUUGCCCCCAGCAGGGAAAGUGCAGAAUAUAGUUCCAUUGUAUUUAUAUCAAACCCAAAGCAUAGAGCUGGAUUCAGGGAACAUUUGUUGGCAGAGCAAUUAUGGGGGGCAAAUAUAAAUGUGACGUGAACAACCAAUCUGCAUGUAACAUAUUUCAAUAAGCAAAUUUACUUUUUCCUUCUUUUUGAAACUUUACAGAUUGUUUCAGUAUGCACAGCAGUAGUUCACAUAACUGCUAGAAAAAUAGAAAAAAACUGAUUUUACUCUCUAAAGUAUGUUUUUAAUAUUGAAC